UGACCCGGCGGGUGUACUUUGCAAUCCUAUGACGCAGGGGGCCGCUCCAUACCAAGAACAACUCUACAAGUGUAUGAAAUAUCUCGGGGAUUCCAUUAUGCUCAUUUACCCAGGAAUACAGGCCAAGUACCGGUUUAACUGGAACGAGGUAUUGGGACUGGUUCAACGGUGCGCUCAACGUCACUUCCCGAAAGAUGGCCGCCUCAUGCUGAGAUCGAUGCAAUACGCGAGGGGCUUAUUUUCCGGAUGAAACACUAAACUAAA
rnacentral:lncRNA from 1 species